UCAGAGGGUCGGGCGGCCGCGGGCACCUUCGGGCGCGCGAGGAAAGUCCGGGCUCCGCGAAACGACGGUGCCGGGUAACGCCCGGCGGGGGCGACCCCAGGGACAGUGCCACAGAGAGCAGACGGCGACCGCUUCGGCGACGCCAUGGUGAAAGGGUGCGGUAAGAGCGCACCGCGCGCCCGGUAACGGGGGCGGCACGGCAAACCCCACCGGGAGCAAGACCGAAUAGGGACGGCAGAGGGGCCGCCCCAAAAAGUAUUACUUUUUGAGGAACCCCAUGGGCUUCGUUUCAGCUCGUCGUCCGGGUUGGUUGCUGGAGGCGGCGCGCAAGCGUCGUCGUAGAGGAAUGGUCGCCCAUCUUCCCGCAAGGGGAGUGGACAGAACCCGGCUUACAGACCCUCUGACAUU
rnacentral:RNase_P_RNA from 1 species